AGUCGAGCGGUAAGGCCCCUUCGGGGGUACACGAGCGGCGAACGGGUGAGUAACACGUGAGCAACCUGCCCCUGACUCUGGGAUAAGCCGUGGAAACGCGGUCUAAUACCGGAUACGACGCGCCUCCGCAUGGGGGUGUGUGGAAAGUUGUGUCGGUUGGGGAUGGGCUCGCGGCCUAUCAGCUUGUUGGUGGGGUGAUGGCCUACCAAGGCGAUUACGGGUAGCCGGCCUGAGAGGGCGACCGGCCACACUGGGACUGAGACACGGCCCAGACUCCUGCGGGAGGCAGCAGUGGGGAAUAUUGCGCAAUGGGCGGAAGCCUGACGCAGCGACGCCGCGUGGGGGAUGACGGCCUUCGGGUUGUAAACCUCUUUUACCACUCACGCAGGCCCUGGGUGUUCUCGGGGUUGACGGUAGGUGGGGAAUAAGGACCGGCUAACUACGUGCCAGCAGCCGCGGUAAUACGUAGGGUCCGAGCGUUGUCCGGAAUUAUUGGGCGUAAAGAGCUCGUAGGCGGUGUGUCGCGUCUGCUGUGAAAGGCUGGGGCUUAACCCUGGUUUUGCAGUGGAUACGGGCAUGCUAGAGGUAGGUAGGGGAGACUGGAAUUCCUGGUGUAGCGGUGAAAUGCGCAGAUAUCAGGAGGAACACCGGUGGCGAAGGCGGGUCUCUGGGCCUUACCUGACGCUGAGGAGCGAAAGCGUGGGGAGCGAACAGGAUUAGAUACCCUGGUAGUCCACGCCGUAAACGUUGGGCGCUAGGUGUGGGGGCUUUCCACGGUUCCCGUGCCGUAGCUAACGCAUUAAGCGCCCCGCCUGGGGAGUACGG
rnacentral:rRNA from 2 species